CCUACGGGAGGCAGCAGUGGGGAAUAUUGGUCAAUGGGCACGAGCCUGAACCAGCCAAGUAGCGUGAAGGAUGAAUGCCCUACGGGUUGUAAACUUCUUUUAUAAGGGAAUAAAGUGAGGCACGUGUGCCUUUUUGUAUGUACUUUAUGAAUAAGGAUCGGCUCACUCCGUGCCAGCAGCCGCGGUAAUACGGAGGAUCCGAGCGUUAGCCGGAUUUAUUGGGUUUAAAGGAAGCGUAGAUGGGUUGUUAAGUCAGUUGUGAAAGUUUGCGGCUCAACCGUAAAAUUGCAAUUGAUACUGGCAGUCGUGAGUACAGUUGAGGUAGGCGGAAUUCGUGGUGUAGCGGAGAAAU
rnacentral:rRNA from 1 species